rnacentral:rRNA from 1 species
UACGAAGGGGGCUAGCGUUGUUCGGAUUUACUGGGCGUAAAGCGCACGUAGGCGGAUCGUUAAGUCGGGGGUGAAAUCCUGGAGCUCAACUCCAGAACUGCCUUUGAUACUGGCGAUCUUGAGUCCGGAAGAGGUGAGUGGAACUCCUAGUGUAGAGGUGGAAUUCGUAGAUAUUAGGAAGAACACCAGUGGCGAAGGCGGCUCACUGGUCCGGUACUGACGCUGAGGUGCGAAAGCGUGGGGAGCAAACAGG